AAUAAGAUGCCUGAAUAAAGGGUUAUUUUGAUAGAAUAAAUUAUAUGCUUAGCAUUCUUAUUA
rnacentral:tRNA from 2 species